rnacentral:rRNA from 1 species
AUGUCGUGGGAGCGCAUGACGAGGCCAAAGAGGGCGGGUGGUAUUGGAUUUAGAGACAUGCACCUGUUCAAUAUAGCCCUUCUUGCCAAACAGGGGUGGAGGCUGAUUCAGAACCCGGAGAGCCUAUGUGCCCGUGUGCUCAAAUCUAAAUAUUACCCAAACAGCAGCCUGUUGAACACCGUCUUUGCUUCUGAUGCUUCGCCGGUGUGGAUAGGUAUUGAGGCAGGGCUGGAGCUGCUGAAAAAGGGCGUCAUCUGGAGAGUGGGCAAUGGAAGAGAUAUUCAGAUUCAACGGGACCAGUGGUUACCAAGGAAAGAGGGUCUGAUGACAGCAUCAUUCAUAAGAAGAUCGCGUCUCCGGUGGGUGAACCAACUCAUGCUUCCAGAUAUGAAGGAAUGGAAUGUUCCACUUAUCAAACAAAUUUUCCAUCCUUUCGAUGCUGAUGAUAUUUGUAGAAUCCCAAUCCCUAGAUCGGAUGUGAGUGACUGCAUUGCCUGGCACCCUGAAAAGAAUGGGAUAUUCACAGUGAGGAGCGCAUAUAAGCUGGCGGCGUCAGCAAAGAAUAAAGCGGCCUUGGAGCCCUCGAGCUCGACAAACAACUCGGAGGACCGUAGCAUAUGGGAUUUGAUCUGGAAAGCUGAGGUUCCUCCGAAGGUGAGAGUCUUCGGCUGGAGGGUUGCAACAAACACCUUGGCCACGAAACGAAACAAGUUCAGGCGUACGAUCACGUUCGAUGCGACGUGUGAUAUAUGCGGCUGUGGGGAUGAGGAUGAACACCACGCAGUUGUGGGAUGCAUCAAGAGUAGAGCACUCAUGCACAAAAUGAGGGAGGAGUGGGAUAUCCCAUCGGAAAAGCAUUUUCGGAAUACUGGUGAAGAUUGGCUACAGAUCCUACUGAGCUCCGUUCCGAAAGAUGUUCGCGCAAAAAAUCUUGUUGCUAUGGAGAUGCUGGCACCUGCGUGA